ACACACACACACUUCUCCCUCAUUCCACACACACACACGCACACACACCCUCCAUCUACAGAGAUCGAAGAUCUCUCUUCUCCCAAACACACACACACACACACAGAUCGGAGAUCUCUCUUCUCCAUUCUCCGAUCUCUCUUCUCCCUUAUCCGAUCUCUCUUCUCCCAAACACACACACACACACAGAGAUCUCUCGAUCUCUCUUCUCCCUUCGCCGUUGAUCGUGGCUCUGGCGAAGUCGGAGUUGGCUCAGUCGUCUCUGGCGGUGCGCCGCUGAGCAAGGAUCACGUUCAGUCAUCUGGUUUGUCUUCGUCUUCGUCAGGUUUUUGGGACGAAAUCGGCCCGGGAAUAGGCACACCGUCUCCGGCGUUCUUCUCCGACGUCGCCUCGGAGUCCGAUUGCACCAAACUCAAAAAAAUUUCGCCGAUAUUUCCAAAAUAUCGCAAUAUUUGGCCGAAAACCAUUCGGAUACCACUUAGAAUAUCCAUCACCCGAAAAACCAAUAAUAUCGGCGAUAUUUCGCCGAUAUUAUCGGCAUUUUCUUCCAUGCU